CCUACGGGAGGCAGCAGUAAGGAAUAUUGGUCAAUGGACGCAAGUCUGAACCAGCCAUGCCGCGUGCAGGAUGACGGCCCUCUGGGUUGUAAACUGCUUUUGUACGGGAAGAAACCUCUCUACGUGUAGAGAGCUGACGGUACCGUAAGAAUAAGGACCGGCUAACUUCGUGCCAGCAGCCGCGGUAAUACGAAGGGUCCAAGCGUUAUCCGGAUUUAUUGGGUUUAAAGGGUGCGUAGGCGGCUUAUUAAGUCAGCGGUGAAAGACUUCAGCUUAACUGAAGAACUGCCAUUGAUACUGAUGAGCUUGAAUAUACUUGAGGUGGGCGGAAUGUGUCAUGUAGCGGUGAAAUGCUUAGAUAUGACACAGAACACCGAUUGCGAAGGCAGCUCGCUAAAGUAUGAUUGACGCUGAGGCACGAAAGCGUGGGGAGCAAACAGGAUUAGAUACCCUGGUAGUCCACGCCCUAAACGUUGAUAACUCGAUGUGUGCGAUAUACAGUACGCGUCCAAGCGAAAGCAUUAAGUUAUCCACCUGGAAGUACGGUGCAGAUUGAAACUUAAUGAAUUGACCGGNNGAGAGNGCGAGACGACGACGAGGGAGGAG
rnacentral:rRNA from 1 species